UAAAAAUGUAGACCUUCCAACAAAAUAGUGAAACUGUCGCAUUGUAAAUGCUGUUCAGGUAGUUUUCCUGCAAGCAGCUCCCCUGCUUUGAAGUACAGUCAGCUGCUCUGGUCUGAUGGUGUUCUCACAAGAUUGUCACGGUCCUGGGUCGGUUCGACCCAGCAUUUUGAGUUUCUUAUGUUUUGGUUUAUUUUUGCAUUAUGGAUUAGUUCUUAUUCUCGGGUGAUGCUGUUUUGAUUGUGAUUGUAUUCUGUUUCUUUAGCUAUCUGGUGAUGAUGAUGAUGAUGAUGAUUAUUUCUGGUUUAGGUUUCGUUAUCUUGCCCUCAUGUUUAGUUUAGGUUGCCUGUCUUCUCUGUCUGUCCAUGAUGUCUUUAUGCCUGCUUAUGAAUCUGUGUCUCUGUCUGUCGUGUGCUUCCUGUUUUAUUUUGUAGGUCUGUGUCCUAUGUCAGUGCGUUCAGCUUUGUGCUCUCCCUGUCUCGUCAGUGUAACCAGCGUCAGCCGUGUCUCCCAGCUGUUUCCUCUUCGUUCCGUUCACCUCUUGUAUUUAGUGUCUGUGGCUGUGUCCCAAUUCAGGGUCUGCACGCUUGAAGUACGCAUUUCAAGUACGAAUACGUCACCGCCACGCGACGACGGCUGUCCCAAUUCAAAGUGUACUUCAAAUGCAUACUCCAAAUGCGCCGUCGAUUUCCCCAAAUAUCAAGCGUGGUCCGAUGCACGCUUCGUGGUCUCAUAUAUCCCACAAUUCGUAGCGCGACGGUGGGUGUGGAUAAUUUUGCCGCAAAAUACGGCAGAAGGGAGCGGCCGAAGAGUGAACUGUCAGAACUUAUCACACAUUUGAUUUCCAUGUGUGACGACUGCAAGUGUCCAGAGUGAGGACAGACUGAGGGACCCACUGCUGCACAUCAUCUGUGAGGCUUUGCACCCCUGAUGAUCCACCAGGACAAACUCAGCAGUGUGUGAGGAAGAGGAGGAAGAGCCAGCAGCACCUGACAGAUGGAGAGAAUAGACAGACUGUUCCCUGUUUGUGAAGGACUGCUAGGAAAGUUUAACAUAACUAAUUGUCUGUCCUGAAUCAGUCUUAUUAGGUAAUGUUCAAAUAAUGUGAUCAUCCCAGUGUUUUCAGUGUGGGAGAAAGUACUCAGGGCCUUCAAGUUACACACUAUGAAAGGCAGCAACAAGUUUAAUAUUCAGAAACCAAAAGUAUGUAUCAGCAGCAGAAUGGAGCUAAAAAUAAAUGUUUGUUUCAGUUCUAUGAAGCUUUGAGUAUUUUGGAUCAGUAGUACUGCUGUGUUUGUUGCAUCAUAUUGCUGUAAUUGUUUAUAUGUUUUAUAUAUUCUGAGGUAAGUUGAUCUAUAGUGUUACAUCAUAUUCUAUAAGGAUGUUAUGUGUUUGUGUACUUUCUGCCCAGUUUGACCCAUUUAGCAGAAGUCAGCCUGUUUAAGGCUCUGAUAUCUAUUCUGUAUGACUUAAAGCAGUUAUGACAUGGUCUGAUUUUCUCACCCAAUAAAGGAAUAUUUC
ensembl:lncRNA